rnacentral:rRNA from 1 species
GACGAACGCUGGCGGCGUGCUUAACACAUGCAAAUCGAACGGUAAGGCCCUUCGGGGUACACGAGUGGCGAACGGGUGAGUAACACGUGGGUGAUCUGCCCUGCACUUCGGGAUAAGCCUGGGAAACUGGGCCUAAUACCGGAUAGGACCCUGGGAUGCAUGUCCUGGGGUGGAAAGCUUUUGCGGUGUGGGCUGGGCCCGCGGCCUAUCAGCUUGUUGGUGGGGUGAUGGCCUACCAAGGCGACGACGGGGAGCCGGCCUAGGAGGGAGACCGGCCACGCUCGGACAGGGAUACGGGACAGAUUACGCCGGGAGGCAGCGGUGGGGAAGAUUGCACAAUGGGCGCAAGCGUGAUGCAGCUACGCCGCGUGAGGGAUGACGGCCUUCGGGUUGUAAACCUCUUUCAGCACCGACGAAGCGCAAGUGACGGUAGGUGCAGAAGAAGGACCGGCCAACUACGUGCCAGCCGCCGCGGUAA